rnacentral:piRNA from 1 species
UAAAAGAUGCCAGGGCAAAAAUACGAAAGC